AUUGAACGCUGGCGGAAUGCUUUACACAUGCAAGUCGAACGGCAGCACGGGGCAACCUGGUGGCGAGUGGCGAACGGGUGAGUAAUAUAUCGGAACGUGCCCAAUCGUGGGGGAUAACGUAGCGAAAGUUACGCUAAUACCGCAUACGAUCUACGGAUGAAAGCGGGGGAUCGCAAGACCUCGCGCGAAUGGAGCGGCCGAUAUCAGAUUAGGUAGUUGGUGGGGUAAAGGCUCACCAAGCCAACGAUCUGUAGCUGGUCUGAGAGGACGACCAGCCACACUGGAACUGAGACACGGUCCAGACUCCUACGGGAGGCAGCAGUGGGGAAUUUUGGACAAUGGGCGCAAGCCUGAUCCAGCCAUUCCGCGUGCAGGAUGAAGGCCUUCGGGUUGUAAACUGCUUUGUACGGAACGAAACGGUCUGCCCUAAUACGGCAGGCUAAUGACGUACCGUAAGAAUAAGCACCGGCUAACUACGUGCCAGCAGCCGCGGUAAACGU
rnacentral:rRNA from 1 species